GUGCUUGCUUUGGCAGCACAUAUACUAACAUUGGAACUAUACAGACAGAAAAGAUUAGCAUGGCCCCCGUACAAGGAUGACAAGCAAAUUUGUGACUCAUUCCCUAUUUUU